GAGUUUGAUCCUGGCUCAGGAUGAACGCUAGCGGCAGGCUUAAUACAUGCAAGUCGAGAGGCAGCAUGACUGUAGCAAUACAGUUGAUGGCGACCGGCAAACGGGUGCGGAACACGUACAGAACCUUCCUUCGAGCGGGGAAUAGCCCAGAGAAAUUUGGAUUAAUACCCCAUAGUAUAACGGAGUGGCAUCACUUUGUUAUUAAAGAUUUAUCACUUGAAGAUGGCUGUGCGGCUGAUUAGGUAGUUGGCGGGGUAACGGCCCACCAAGCCUACGAUCAGUAACUGGUGUGAGAGCACGACCAGUCACACGGGCACUGAGACACGGGCCCGACUCCUACGGGAGGCAGCAGUAAGGAAUAUUGGUCAAUGGACGAAAGUCUGAACCAGCCAUGCCGCGUGGAGGAUGAAGGCCCUCUGGGUUGUAAACUUCUUUUAUAUGGGACGAAAAAGGCCUUUCUAGGUCACCUGACGGUACCAUAUGAAUAAGCACCGGCUAACUCCGUGCCAGCAGCC
rnacentral:rRNA from 2 species